GAGCGAACGGGGAGGAGCCCAGAGCCUGAAUCAGCAUGUGUGUUAGUGGAAGCGUCUGGAAAGGCGCGCGAUACAGGGUGACAGCCCCGUACACAAAAGCGCAUGUGCUGUGAGCUCGAUGAGUAGGGCGGGACACGUGGUAUCCUGUCUGAAUAUGGGGGGACCAUCCUCCAAGGCUAAAUACUCCUGACUGACCGAUAGUGAACCAGUACCGUGAGGGAAAGGCGAAAAGAACCCCGGCGAGGGGAGUGAAAAAGAACCUGAAACCGUGUACGUACAAGCAGUGGGAGCCCCACCACUAAGCCAGUGGUGAACUCCACAUCCGCAUCCUUUGCUGAGGAUACGGUUAACGGAGCGAAAGCGACGUUCAACCGCAAAACAAGCAGAGGGGGCUUAGUGGUGGGGUGACUGCGUACCUUUUGUAUAAUGGGUCAGCGACUUAUAUUCUGUAGCAAGGUUAACCGAAUAGGGGAGCCGGAGGGAAACCGAGUCUUAAUUGGGCGUUAAGUUGCAGGGUAUAGACCCGAAACCCGGUGAUCUAGCCAUGGGCAGGUUGAAGGUUGGGUAACACUAACUGGAGGACCGAACCGACUAAUGUUGAAAAAUUAGCGGAUGACCUGUGGCUGGGGGUGAAAGGCCAAUCAAACCGGGAGAUAGCUGGUUCUCCCCGAAAGCUAUUUAGGUAGCGCCUCGUGAA
rnacentral:rRNA from 1 species